rnacentral:rRNA from 1 species
UAAUACGGGAGGCAGCAGUGGGGAAUAUUGCACAAUGGGCGCAAGCCUGAUGCAGCCAUGCCGCGUGUGUGAAGAAGGCCUUCGGGUUGUAAAGCACUUUCAGUCGUGAGGAAGGUGGUGUAGUUAAUAGCUGCAUUAUUUGACGUUAGCGACAGAAGAAGCACCGGCUAACUCCGUGCCAGCAGCCGCGGUAAUACGGAGGGUGCGAGCGUUAAUCGGAAUUACUGGGCGUAAAGCGCAUGCAGGUGGUUUGUUAAGUCAGAUGUGAAAGCCCGGGGCUCAACCUCGGAAUAGCAUUUGAAACUGGCAGACUAAAGUACUGUAAAGGGGGGUAAAAUUUCAGGUGUACCGGUGAAAUGCGAAAAAAUCUAAAGGAAUACCGGGGGCGAAGGCGGCCCCCUGGACAGAAACUGACCCUCAAAUCCGAAAACCGGGGGACCAAACAGGAAUAAAAACCCGGGAAGCCCCACCCCCUAAAAAAUGUCAACUUAGGAGGUGUGGCCC